AUCACGAAACAACAUGUCACUAAACCUAUGUCUCAAUAUGAAGCUAUGCCCAAGCCCUACCAAAGCCUUUGUACCAUAUCAAAGGAAAACACCAACCUAAUCCUUCACCCAACAGAAUUUCAACCCCUUCUUCUCAUAUCACCUCCCACCAAUCCAUCUAAACAACCCCCAUGACACCUGACCCUCCCCAUGCUAACCAUGUUCACCAUUAGGAGAACUGGGCAAACCCUUCACUGGAUAUGGAAACCCAGGAUGUGAAAGUUAUAUCACCCACUUGUAUGCCAAAUUAGAGAUAUAAGCCUCCUUAUCUCCCAAUGGUUCAGAAGUGGAAUUGAAAAAUCAAGAUUUUGUUGAAGAAAACUCAGAAGAGUUGGUUGCAGCGAUAGAGAUUUUUGAAAAAAUCAGAACUAGAAAAAUGAUAUGGAUAAAGCUAGCCCUCCUUAGUCAGAGGAGGAAAUGUUGUGUGCUUGAGACUUGGGCUUUGUCUUUCUAGGCUUGUGAUCUUUUUUUUCUCUGUUGUAAUGAUUAUUUUUGUUUGGAAUAUUAGACCACUACCCUCUUUGUCUUACCACCAAUCCUGAUAGAGUGGACAGAGGUCAUAAAUUAUUUUGUUUUGAAGUAAUGUGGAAAACCCACCCUUCUUUCAGAAAUUUUCUUCUUCAAAAUUGGAAAAAACAUGAUUCCUUCUCCAAUAUCCUAACUUACCUCAACAACAGCCUUAAGAGUUGGAAUAAAAUAUGUUUGGUGACAUAUUCAGGAAAAAAAAGAAGAAUCAUGAAUAGACCAAAGGAGAUUUAGUGUGCUCCAUCCUAUGAAAGGGACCAAUUCUUAUAUGAGCUUGAAAAAGAGCUUAACAAAGAGUUGGACACUAUUUUAGAACAAGAAAAAUAUUUUUGGCUCUAGAAAUCUAGACAACAGUGGCUUACAGAUGGAGAUAAGAACACAAGAUUUUACCAUACAAAGACCUUGAUCAGAAGAAGGAAAAACAAGAUUUACAAGCUAAAAAACCCUUAUGGCAACUGGUGUGAAGACCAAGAUCUUCUUAAAGACAUGACCUUUGAUUUUUUCCAAGAUCUUUAUAAAGAGGAGAGGAACAGACCUGAUUUGAGCAUACAACAUCAUUAUCCUCCCUUGAGUAAAACUGAAAGGUGCUUUGGAAUGGUUGCUAAUCUGAUGAGUUCGUUCUCCAUGGCGGUAUAAGACAUGGGGACCCAUCUCCCUUGAGCUUUUUGUGAUUUCUAUUGAUAAACUGUCUCAAAUGAUUGAACAAUGCGUGGAUUUGGGAAGCUGGAAGCCUAUGAGGACGGGCAGAGCAGGACUAGAUAUCUCCCAUCUUCUCUUCGAGGAUGACUUGUUCUUUUUUGUUGAAGCAUCAGUUGAGCAAAUGCAUUAUAUCAAUAAGAUGUUGGAGUCUUUUAAUGAAGCUUCUGGUUUGAAAAGCUUCAAAUCAGAAAUGACAAUACCAACAAAUGUAGCAACAACACUGCUGAAUCAGAAUGAUGACAAUAACAACAACACUAAAGGAGUACAAAGUUUUUCAACUCUAAUUAGGAUCAAGCUAGAAGAAGAGAAUUUUCUACCAUAAAGAAACAAGCCAAAGCCACAAUCGAAGGUCAUGAACUAAUGGAUCACAUUGAAGGAGCUAACGUUCCUCGCCAAUACAAUUCACCACAAGACAAGAGUGUUGGAUGAAGUUCAGUAGAGUACAAAACGUGGAAAUUAAAAGACAAGAUGUGUUGCUGAAAUCUUGGCUUUUGGCAUCAAUGAGUGACUCGUUUAUUGCAAGAAUGGUAGGAUGCAUGUUUACAAACUAGAUCUGGGCACGAUUACAGGUAUUUUUUUGCAUCUCAAGUCAUGGCCAACUGAUGCACCAAUAUUUCAUGGUACAUCUUGUGCUUAAUUGAGUGGAUUUUAUCCACUAUUCUCACACUUAUUCAUGAAAAUUGCAUGCUUUACAUUUUUCUUUCUGAUUUUGUGCUAUGAUUGAAAACAUGUUUCUUUGGUCUUAAUUUAGCUAAUUUUAAUCCUCUCUUAUUACCAUUCGAUGCCAUGAUAUGUAUGUUAAGUGUUUUCAGAGAUUACAGGGAAGGAAUGGCUUAGAGGAUGGAAAGGAAACAUGCAAAAGUGGAAGGAAUACAAGAAGCUAAAGGAACUGCAAAGCUGUCAACCCUGACCUCUUCGCACUCAAUCGAUCAUAACUUGAGCUACAGAGGUCCAAAUGAGGCGGUUCUAGUUGUGUUUGAAAGCUAACAUCUGGGGCUUCGAAAUGAUAUAUAAUCUACCAUAGUGUUUGUACAGCUAGGCAAUGCGCACGCGUGCAUCACGUGCACGCGUGCAUCUACGAAAUUUCAGCGUAUCAGAAUUCGUCCCCAGCGAUUUUUGGGCUGUUUUUGACCCAGUUUCCGGCCCAGAAAACACAGAUUAGAGGCUGCAGAGUGGAGAAAUCAAGAGACACAACUCAUUAUUCACAAUUUUAUGUUUUAGAUGUAGUUUUCAAGAGAGAGUCUCUCUCUUCUCUCUAGGUUUUAGGAUUUAGGAUUUCCCUUAGUUUUAGGUUUAUUUAUUCUUAAUUCUAGGUUUAAUGUUUCUUUAAUUUAGUUUCUCUUCUACUUUUAUUUAUUCUAGUACUUUAGUUCAUCUAUUUCUCUUGUUGAUUUGUUUAUUUUCCCAAUUUGGUUUCCGAACUCGAUGUUAGAUUUGAUUUUCUAUUUAAUGCAA